rnacentral:rRNA from 2 species
GGUUAAGCGACUAAGCGUACACGGUGGAUGCCCUGGCAGUCAGAGGCGAUGAAGGACGUGCUAAUCUGCGAAAAGCGUCGGUAAGGUGAUAUGAACCGUUAUAACCGGCGAUGUCCGAAUGGGGAAACCCAGUGCAAUUCGUUGCACUAUCGUUAACUGAAUACAUAGGUUAACGAGGCGAACCGGGGGAACUGAAACAUCUAAGUACCCCGAGGAAAAGAAAUCAACCGAGAUUCCCCCAGUAGCGGCGAGCGAACGGGGAGCAGCCCAGAGUCUGAAUCAGCUUGUGUGUUAGUGGAACGGUCUGGAAAGUCCGACGGUACAGGGUGAUAGUCCCGUACACCAAAAUGCACAGGCUGUGAACUCGAAGAGUAGGGCGGGACACGUGGUAUCCUGUCUGAAUAUGGGGGGACCAUCCUCCAAGGCUAAAUACUCCUGACUGACCGAUAGUGAACCAGUACCGUGAGGGAAAGGCGAAAAGAACCCCGGCGAGGGGAGUGAAAAAGAACCUGAAACCGUGUACGUACAAGCAGUGGGAGCACCUUCGGGUGUGACUGCGUACCUUUUGUAUAAUGGGUCAGCGACUUAUAUUCUGUAGCAAGGUUAACCGUAUAGGGGAGCCGCAGGGAAACCGAGUCUUAACUGGGCGUUAAGUUGCAGGGUAUAGACCCGAAACCCGGUGAUCUAGCCAUGGGCAGGUUGAAGGUUGGGUAACACUAACUGGAGGACCGAACCGACUAAUGUUGAAAAAUUAGCGGAUGACUUGUGGCUGGGGGUGAAAGGCCAAUCAAACCGGGAGAUAGCUGGUUCUCCCCGAAAGCUAUUUAGGUAGCGCCUCGUGAACUCAUCUUCGGGGGUAGAGCACUGUUUCGGCUAGGGGGUCAUCCCGACUUACCAACCCGAUGCAAACUACGAAUACCGAAGAAUGUUAUCACGGGAGACACACGGCGGGUGCUAACGUCCGUCGUGAAGAGGGAAACAACCCAGACCGCCAGCUAAGGUCCCAAAGUCAUGGUUAAGUGGGAAACGAUGUGGGAAGGCACAGACAGCCAGGAUGUUGGCUUAGAAGCAGCCAUCAUUUAAAGAAAGCGUAAUAGCUCACUGGUCGAGUCGGCCUGCGCGGAAGAUGUAACGGGGCUAAACCAUGCACCGAAGCUGCGGCAGCGACACUAUGUGUUGUUGGGUAGGGGAGCGUUCUGUAAGCCUGCGAAGGUGUGCUGUGAGGCAUGCUGGAGGUAUCAGAAGUGCGAAUGCUGACAUAAGUAACGAUAAAGCGGGUGAAAAGCCCGCUCGCCGGAAGACCAAGGGUUCCUGUCCAACGUUAAUCGGGGCAGGGUGAGUCGACCCCUAAGGCGAGGCCGAAAGGCGUAGUCGAUGGGAAACAGGUUAAUAUUCCUGUACUUGGUGUUACUGCGAAGGGGGGACGGAGAAGGCUAUGUUAGCCGGGCGACGGUUGUCCCGGUUUAAGCAUGUAGGCUGAUUGUCCAGGCAAAUCCGGAUAAUCAAGGCUGAGGUGUGAUGACGAGGCACUACGGUGCUGAAGUAACAAAUGCCCUGCUUCCAGGAAAAGCCUCUAAGCAUCAGGUAACAUCAAAUCGUACCCCAAACCGACACAGGUGGUCAGGUAGAGAAUACCAAGGCGCUUGAGAGAACUCGGGUGAAGGAACUAGGCAAAAUGGUGCCGUAACUUCGGGAGAAGGCACGCUGGUGUGUAGGUGAAGUCCCUGCGGAUGGAGCUGAGACCAGUCGAAGAUACCAGCUGGCUGCAACUGUUUAUUAAAAACACAGCACUGUGCAAACACGAAAGUGGACGUAUACGGUGUGACGCCUGCCCGGUGCCGGAAGGUUAAUUGAUGGGGUUAUCCGUAAGGAGAAGCUCUUGAUCGAAGCCCCGGUAAACGGCGGCCGUAACUAUAACGGUCCUAAGGUAGCGAAAUUCCUUGUCGGGUAAGUUCCGACCUGCACGAAUGGCGUAAUGAUGGCCAGGCUGUCUCCACCCGAGACUCAGUGAAAUUGAACUCGCUGUGAAGAUGCAGUGUACCCGCGGCAAGACGGAAAGACCCCGUGAACCUUUACUAUAGCUUGACACUGAACAUUGAGCCUUGAUGUGUAGGAUAGGUGGGAGGCUUUGAAGCGUGGACGCCAGUCUGCGUGGAGCCAACCUUGAAAUACCACCCUUUAAUGUUUGAUGUUCUAACGUUGGCCCCUGACCGGGGUUGCGGACAGUGUCUGGUGGGUAGUUUGACUGGGGCGGUCUCCUCCCAAAGCGUAACGGAGGAGCACGAAGGUUAGCUAAUCCUGGUCGGACAUCAGGAGGUUAGUGCAAUGGCAUAAGCUAGCUUGACUGCGAGCGUGACGGCGCGAGCAGGUGCGAAAGCAGGUCAUAGUGAUCCGGUGGUUCUGAAUGGAAGGGCCAUCGCUCAACGGAUAAAAGGUACUCCGGGGAUAACAGGCUGAUACCGCCCAAGAGUUCAUAUCGACGGCGGUGUUUGGCACCUCGAUGUCGGCUCAUCACAUCCUGGGGCUGAAGUAGGUCCCAAGGGUAUGGCUGUUCGCCAUUUAAAGUGGUACGCGAGCUGGGUUUAGAACGUCGUGAGACAGUUCGGUCCCUAUCUGCCGUGGGCGCUGGAGAAUUGAGGGGGGCUGCUCCUAGUACGAGAGGACCGGAGUGGACGCAUCACUGGUGUUCGGGUUGUCAUGCCAAUGGCACUGCCCGGUAGCUAAAUGCGGAAGAGAUAAGUGCUGAAAGCAUCUAAGCACGAAACUUGCCCCGAGAUGAGUUCUCCCUGAGACUAUAAGUCUCCUGAAGGAACGUUAAAGACGAUGACGUUGAUAGGCCGGGUGUGUAAGCGCAGCGAUGCGUUGAGCUAACCGGUACUAAUGAACCGUGAGGCUUAACCUU